CCGUGUCCCUGCAGCGGGGCGCACACGCGGACGCCGAGGCGGUCCCCGGGCGGGCCACCUGCCCACCUGCCCACCUGCCCACCUGCCCACCUGCCCACCUGCCGUGGCUGCCCCGAGGCCGAGCGCGCCCGGGGCCCGGGGGACGGCGGGGGCGGGGGGGCGGGGGGACCGGCCGGCUGGGGGCCCCGGCUCGGGGCGCGCAGGUAAAGGGUUACGCGUGCCGGGGAGGCUCGCCCGGGGCCGCGCCACGUGACGCGCAGGCCCAAUGACGGCGGCGGGGCGGCCGCUGCGAGCGCGGCGGGCUCCGGGCGGCGCUGAGCCGCUGGCGUUUCCCGGCGCGGUCGCCCGAGGCCGGCGAAGCCAUGGGCGCCGCGACCCCGCCGCAGCCGCCGCCGCCGCCGCCCGGCCCCAGGAAGAGAAGUUAAACUUCGAGAGAGACCUAAUGGACAAUCUCCACAACAGCCUGGGACCCAGGAGUUGCCUCAGUGAGGGAAGGAAUGCCACCGCCGGGGAGGGAAAACUCAGGGCUUUGCGAGAAAGCAGGGCCUCUGCCCAGG
rnacentral:lncRNA from 12 species